GAUGAACGCUGGCGGCGUGCCUAAUACAUGCAAGUCGAGCGAACGGACGAGAAGCUUGCUUUUCUGAUGUUAGCGGCGGACGGGUGAGUAACACGUGGAUAACCUACCUAUAAGACUGGGAUAACUUCGGGAAACCGGAGCUAAUACCGGAUAAUAUUUUGAACCGCAUGGUUCAAAAGUGAAAGACGGUCUUGCUGUCACUUAUAGAUGGAUCCGCGCUGCAUUAGCUAGUUGGUAAGGUAACGGCUUACCAAGGCAACGAUGCAUAGCCGACCUGAGAGGGUGAUCGGCCACACUGGAACUGGGACACGGUCCAGACUCCUACGGGAGGCAGCAGCAGGGAAUCUGCCGCAGUGGGCGAAAGCCUGACGGAGCAACGCCGCGUGAGUGAUGAAGGUCUUCGGAUCGUAAAACUCUGUUAUUAGGGAAGAACAUAUGUGUAAGUAACUGUGCGCAUCUUGACGGUACCUAAUCAGAAAGCCACGGCUAACUACGUG
rnacentral:rRNA from 1 species